ACGGGAGGCAGCAGUGGGGAAUAUUGGGCAAUGGAGGCAACUCUGACCCAGCAACGCCGCGUGAGUGAUGAAGGUCUUCGGAUUGUAAAACUCUUUAAGUAGGGACGAAGAAAGUGACGGUACCUACAGAAUAAGCCUCGGCUAACUACGUGCCAGCAGCCGCGGUAAUACGUAGGAGGCAAGCGUUAUCCGGAAUGACUGGGCGUAAAGGGUGCGUAGGUGGUUUGGCAAGUUGGUAGCGUAAUCCCGGGGCUUAACUUCGGUGCUACUACCAAAACUGCUGGGCUUGAGUGCAGGAGGGGUGAAUGGAAUUCCUAGUGUAGCGGUGGAAUGCGUAGAUAUUAGGAAGAACACCAGCGGCGAAGGCGAUUCACUGGACUGUAACUGACACUGAGGCACGAAAGCGUGGGGAGCAAACAGGAUUAGAUACCCUGGUA
rnacentral:rRNA from 1 species